rnacentral:rRNA from 1 species
UACGGAGGGUGCGAGCGUUGUCCGGAAUCAUUGGGCGUAAAGGGCGCGUAGGUGGCCCGGUCAGUUCGUGGUGAAAGCGCGGGGCUCAACCCUGCGUCGGCCAUGAAUACUGCCGCGGCUGGAGCACUGUAGAGGCAGGCGGAAUUCCGGGUGUAGCGGUGGAAUGCGUAGAGAUCCGGAAGAACACCGGUGGCGAAGGCGGUUCUCUGGGCAUUACCUGACGCUGAGGAGCGAAAGUGUGGGGAGCGAACAGG